rnacentral:rRNA from 1 species
UACGAAGGGGGCUAGCGUUGCUCGGAAUUACUGGGCGUAAAGGGCGCGUAGGCGGACAGUUUAGUCAGAGGUGAAAGCCCAGGGCUCAACCUUGGAACUGCCUUUGAUACUGGCUGUCUUGAGUUCGGGAGAGGUGAGUGGAACUCCGAGUGUAGAGGUGAAAUUCGUAGAUAUUCGGAAGAACACCAGUGGCGAAGGCGGCUCACUGGCUCAUUACUGACGCUCAGGCGCGACAGCGUGGGGAUCAAACAGG